rnacentral:rRNA from 1 species
UACGUAGGGUGCAAGCGUUGUCCGGAUUUACUGGGUUUAAAGGGUGCGCAGGCGGCUCCGUCAGUCGGUGAUGAAAUGCUCAGGCUCAACCUGCAGCGCUGUUACCGAUACGGCGGAACUUGAGAGCGAUCGAGGUGGCCGGAAUGAGCGGUGUAGCGGUGAAAUGCGUAGAGAUCACUCAGAACACCGAUUGCGAAGGCAAGUCACUGGGUCGCUUCUGUCGCUCAGGCACGAAAGCAUGGGGAGCAAACAGG